UACGGAGGGGGCUAGCGUUAUUCGGAAUUAUUGGGCGUAAAGGGCGUGUAGGCGGCCGCGUAUGUCCCAUGUGAAAGCCCUCGGCUCAACCGGGGAACUGCAUGGGAAACGGCGUGGCUUGAGUCCGGGAGAGGAUAGUGGAAUUCCCAGUGUAGCGGUGGAAUGCGCAGAUAUCAGGAGGAACACCCAUAGCGAAGGCAGCUUGCUGGGACGUAACUGACGCUAAGGCGCGAAAGCGUGGGGAGCGAACAGG
rnacentral:rRNA from 1 species